AUUGAACGCUGGCGGCAGGCCUAACACAUGCAAGUCGAGCGGAUGAAGGGAGCUUGCUCCUGGAUUCAGCGGCGGACGGGUGAGUAAUGCCUAGGAAUCUGCCUGGUAGUGGGGGAUAACGUCCGGACACGGGCGCUAAUACCGCAUACGUCCUGAGGGAGAAAGUGGGGGAUCUUCGGACCUCACGCUAUCAGAUGAGCCUAGGUCGGAUUAGCUAGUUGGUGGGGUAAAGGCCUACCAAGGCGACGAUCCGUAACUGGUCUGAGAGGAUGAUCGGUCACACUGGAACUGAGACACGGUCCAGACUCCUACGGGAGGCAGCAGUGGGGAAUAUUGGACAAUGGGCGAAAGCCUGAUCCAGCCAUGCCGCGUGUGUGAAGAAGGUCUUCGGAUUGUAAAGCACUUUAAGUUGGGAGGAAGGGCAGUAAGUUAAUACCUUGCUGUUUUGACGUUACCAACAGAAUAAGCACCGGCUAACUUCGUG
rnacentral:rRNA from 1 species